GACGAACGCUGGCGGCGUGCUUAAUACAUGCAAGUCGAACGAAGAUGCUGCGAGGAAGUUUUCGGACGGAAUCGCAGUAGACUGAGUGGCGGACGGGUGAGUAACGCGUGAGCAACCUGCCUACAAGAGGGGGAUAACAGCUGGAAACGGCUGCUAAUACCGCAUAAGACCACGUUUUCGCAUGGAAGAGGGGUCAAAGGAGGAAUCCGCUUGUAGAUGGGCUCGCGUCCCAUUAGCUAGUUGGGAGGGUAAAGGCCUACCAAGGCGACGAUGGGUAGCCGACCUGAGAGGGUGAUCGGCCACACUGGAACUGAGACACGGUCCAGACUCCUACGGGAGGCAGCAGUAGGGAAUAUUGGGCAAUGGGGGAAACCCUGACCCAGCAACGCCGCGUGAGGGAAGAAGGUUUUCGGAUUGUAAACCUCUGUCCUAUGGGACGAAGGAAGUGACGGUACCAUAGGAGGAAGCUCCGGCUAACUACGUGCCAGCAGCCGCGGUAAUACGUAGGGAGCGAGCGUUGUCCGGAAUUACUGGGCGUAAAGGGUGCGUAGGCGGUAUUUUAAGUCGCAUGUGAAAUACUCGGGCUUAACCCGGGGGCUGCAUGCGAAACUGGGGUACUAGAGUGCAGGAGAGGUAAGCGGAAUUCCUAGUGUAGCGGUGAAAUGCGUAGAUAUUAGGAGGAACACCAGUGGCGAAGGCGGCUUACUGGACUGUAACUGACGCUGAGGCACGAAAGCGUGGGGAGCAAACAGAAUUAGAUACCCUGGUAGUCCACGCUGUAAACG
rnacentral:rRNA from 1 species